rnacentral:rRNA from 1 species
AACUUUCAGCAACGGAUCUCUUGGCUCUCGCAUCGAUGAAGAACGCAGCGAAAUGCGAUAAGUAAUGUGAAUUGCAGAAUUCAGUGAAUCAUCGAAUCUUUGAACGCACCUUGCACUCCUUGGUAUUCCGAGGAGUAUGCCUGUUUGAGCGUCA